GUCACCAUCACCCGGAGAGGCUGGAACAGACGACGAGACCUCGUUUGACACACACACACACACACACAAAGGCUCACACACACGCGCAAAUCCAGAGCACCAGACCAUGCCAUAAUAAGUGCCGCGUCAAUACGGGGAUACGCCGCCGCACUGCGAAGCAAAGGGGGGCCGUUGCAGCCGCUCGGGAAUGUCCGCCGUGCGGACCUGAAGACAACAUGAAGCGCAAGAGCGAGAGGAGACGAGCCGAGUCGAGGAAAAGGCGCUGCGCAGCUCACAGCAGCUCAGAGGCGGAGCCAAACUCCAAUAUUUACACUGAGAUAACAGAUCAACUGUACUUCGCCGUACUGAAGCAGAAGAUCAAGAGCACGGGCGAGCGGCACUGUUUCUGCGUGGACGAGGAGCUGGCGUACGAGAACUUCUAUGCAGACUUUGGUCCCCUUAACCUGGCCAUGUUCUAUCGCUUCUGCUGCAAGCUGACAAAGAAGCUCAAGUCCAUCAUGCUCUCGAGGAAGAAGAUCAUAUUUUACACAUGCGGGGACCAGAAGAAACAAGCCAAUGCCGCCUACUUGAUCGGCUCCUAUGCGGUGAUGCAUCUAAACAUGAUGCCAGAAGAGGCCCACAGUCUGCUGGUGUCGAGGAAUUCAACGUAUAUUCCAUUCAGAGAUGCCUCAUUCGGAACCUGCAUGUACAAUCUGAACAUCCUCGAUUGCCUUCGUGGUGUUCACAAGGCUCUGCAGUACGGCUGGCUCGACUUCUCCAACUUCGACGUGGAGGAAUACGAGCACUACGAGCGAGCGGAAAACGGCGACUUGAACUGGAUCAUUCCGGGAAAGUUCCUGGCGUUCAGCGGGCCUCAUCCAAAGAGCAAAAUCGAGAACGGGUACCCGUUGCACGCUCCCGAGGCCUACAUCCCGUACUUCAGGAAUCACAACAUCACCACCGUCAUCAGGCUCAACAAGAAGAUGUACGACGCUCGGCGUUUCACGGAAUCCGGAUUUGAGCACCACGACCUGUUCUUUGUGGACGGGAGUACGCCGACCGACGCCAUCGUCAGGAAGUUCCUCAAUAUCUGCGAGAACGCCGAAGGAGCCAUUGCGGUCCACUGCAAAGCUGGUCUGGGAAGGACUGGCACUCUGAUUGGCUGUUAUAUGAUGAAACAUUACUGCCUGAGUGCCGCCGAGGCCAUCGCCUGGAUACGGAUCUGCAGGCCAGGGUCCAUCAUUGGGCCUCAGCAGAACUUCGUUGAAGAUAAGCAGAACAGCCUGUGGGCAGAGGGAGAUGUGUUCCGGGAGAAGACUCUGAAUGAGCGCGAGAACGGAAAGGUGGCCGUCACCCGGAUCCUGUCCGGUGUGGAUGACAUCACCAUCAAUGGGAGCAACAAAAACCGUGUGUCCAACAAAGAGGAAACUGAACAGUAUAACGACGACGACGAGAGAAAUGGCCUCACUCAAGGGGAUAAACUACGAGCCCUGAAGAGCAAGAGGCAGGCCAGAUCGUCCUCGGGUUCACUAUCACAAGAAGAGAAUAAGAUUCACACCCGGUCGUCGACACAGUCCCUCAGCCGAGUCGUACUGCAGGCCAGCGUCAACCCCUUGUCUCUGUCUGACCAAUCGGACAGCAGGAAGAGGACCCGGACCUCGCUGCCGGCCAAUGGAGUGGAAGGAAGUUGGAGAAGCAACCAAGAGGCUAUAGCCACUCACGGGUCCCGCUGGAGUAACUUUAAUGGCUUCCCUUCUCUCUGCCAGCUCCCUGUGCCACACCAGACUGGUCAGGUCCCUAGGGAACUUGCAUGUAGUGGCUGGCGACAGGGCCCCUCUGUGUUGGGAGCCAUGUGGCAGCCAUAGAGAGACGGCCAGCGCCACAGCCAACACAGGCCCUCUGAUCAACUUAAACAUGGCACAGGUCCACCUGCAGCCACUCCAUACCCAAAGCUAGAGCUCCUCUACUUCGGUGAGCCCGUCGAUCUGGAAAUCCCGAGGAACUUUACAUGGAAUCCAACUUCUAUACAGCCGUAAUCCAUUUACAUUUGUGUUUGAGAAAAAAAAGGUUGGCACAAACUAACCAACUUUAUGUGACGCGUAAAUCAUUAUAGAUUUGUUCGAUUACAAGUAUAUUUUAACGGUAAGGCACUUUUGGGUUUUUAUACUUUUUAACUAAGAAUCAUGAAGAAUAGGGAUAGUUUUAAUCAUUGCCUGGUUGCUCCUACCUAUUGAAGCAUGCAGUAGCAAACAUCCGACCCGGCAUGUGAAGCCGAGAUGUCCUCAGAAAUGAGCACUGCAGCACAUUCUGGGUCAUGAAAAUGAACUCAGUCUGUUACAGUUGUAGAUUGAUUUGGCCGUGCGGUUUGGAUGUCGUUGAAACAUCAAGUCCAUCACACAAUGCAGUACUGUGCUCAUGUUGUCAUUAUCUGGCUUUUCAGCUACUGUAUUCCAAGUCUGUAAAUAUGUCAACAUUUGAUAUACUCAGUUUGUAUUUUUUAACUAUUUUGUACCAUGCUAUGAAGUGUCAAUGGUCCCAUUGGGGCUCUAACUCAUGUUCAUAAUCCACUGAAGACAUAUUGCUUUAAGCACACAGAAUCUGACUUUUUACAUGUAUUCCAAGUAGGUCUCUGGCUGUUGGUCCUGUGCCAUGCAAUAAAUGCAUUCAAAUGUCA